AGGCUCAAUCCGGCAUCACAUCUGCUAAGAUUGGAAUGCCACAGAGAUUAUUAGCAUGUCCCCUGUGCAAAAUGAAAGUGCCUGAAGCAUUCAAAAAAUAA
rnacentral:snRNA from 1 species